GCCAAACUGAAAGGGUACUGAAAGCACACAGGCAUUCUGCAGCAUAGGAAUUUCAAAGCAAGAAUCAUUAGCUAAAAUAGGAAACUGCCGAUGGAAAGUUGGGGCUUUCAACAAGUCAUGAAUCCCCGGGAUUAUCCAGCCCACAUCCCCUGAUCUUUUUAAAGAACUGAAGCAUUGAAUUGAAGAAAGCAUUUCUGAGAACAUUCCCAUUUCCAUUCCAGGUUAAUUUCUUUGGAGAAACCGUGGCUCUCACAGAGGAGACUUUAAUAUCCUGGGAUCUGGUACAAUGCACAUAAUAUCAUUCUCAAAGAAGAACAACUGGAAGACCCCAUCAUCUACAGAACUCCAUCUUCCAAUUGGAUCCUGAAUAGGGGUUUGUAUCAUCAGCAAAUUCAGUUAAGAACACCAUCUAUGCCAUUAUUCAAGGUAUUAUUUAAAAUAUUCAAUAGCUCAGAGCCAAACACAAAGCCUCUUGGAGAUUCCUUCCAUGCUGAUGUUGCUGAUGAAUCCAUGAAUGAUGGAUCUGGGGUUAGUCAUUCUUUCAGAUGUUGUUUAAGACACUGACAUUCAUAAGAUGAAAACACAAUUUGGUUUUCCAUCUGAAAAUAGCAAUGAACCUAAGACUUCUAAUGCAUUCAGGAGCAA